rnacentral:rRNA from 1 species
GACGUAGGGUGCGAGCGUUGUCCGGAUUUAUUGGGCGUAAAGAGCUCGUAGGCGGCUCGUCGCGUCGACCGUGAAAACCCGCGGCUUAACUGCGGGCUUGCGGUUGAUACGGGCGGGCUAGAGUUCGGUAGGGGAGACUGGAAUUCCCGGUGUAGUGGUGAAAUGCGUAGAUAUCGGGAGGAACACCAGUGGCGAAGGCGACUACCUGGCCUGUUCUUGACGCUGAGGCGCGAAAGCUAGGGGAGCAAACGGG